AACGAACGCUGGCGGCGUGCCUAACACAUGCAAGUCGAGCGAGAAAGCCCGCAAGGGUGAGUAAAGCGGCGCACGGGUGCGUAACACGUGGGUAAUCUGCCCUGAAGUCCGGAAUAACUCGCCGAAAGGCGUGCUAAUGCCGGAUAAGACCACGGGAACCUCGGUUCUUGCGGGAAAAGGUGGCCUCUGUACACAAGCUAUCACUUCAGGAUGAGCCCGCGGCCCAUCAGCUAGUUGGCGGGGUAAUGGCCCACCAAGGCUACGACGGGUAGCUGGUCUAAGAGGACGAUCAGCCACACUGGAACUGAGACACGGUCCAGACUCCUACGGGAGGCAGCAGUGGGGAAUCUUGCGCAAUGGGCGAAAGCCUGACGCAGCAACGCCGCGUGUGUGAUGAAGGUCUUCGGAUCGUAAAGCACUGUCGGGAGGGACGAAUAGGGCGCCGGCUAACAUCCGGCGCUGAUGACGGUACCUCCAAAGGAAGCACCGGCUAACUCUGUGCCAGCCGCCGCCGUAACAC
rnacentral:rRNA from 1 species